rnacentral:rRNA from 1 species
GAUGAACGCUGACAGAAUGCUUAACACAUGCAAGUCAACUUGAAUUUGGGUUUUUAACUUAGGUUUGGGUGGCGGACGGGUGAGUAACGCGUAAAGAACUUGCCUCACAGCUAGGGACAACAUUUGGAAACGAAUGCUAAAACCUAAUAUUAUGAUAAUAGGGCAUCCUAUAAUUAUGAAAGCUAUAAGCGCUGUGAGAGAGCUUUGCGUCCCAUUAGCUAGUUGGAGAGGUAACGGCUCACCAAGGCGAUGAUGGGUAGCCGGCCUGAGAGGGUGAUCGGCCACAAGGGGACUGAGACACGGCCCUUACUCCUACGGGAGGCAGCAGUGGGGAAUAUUGGACAAUGGACCGAGAGUCUGAUCCGGCAAUUCUGUGUGCACGAUGAAGUUUUUCGGAAUGUAAAGUGCUUUCAGUUGGGAAGAAAAAAAUGACGGUACCAACAGAAGAAGUGACGGCUAAAUACGUG